rnacentral:rRNA from 1 species
AUCAGCCUACGGGAGGCAGCAGUGGGGAAUAUUGGGCAAUGGGCGCAAGCCUGACCCAGCAACGCCGCGUGAAGGAAGAAGGCUUUCGGGUUGUAAACUUCUUUCCUCAGGGACGAAGCAAGUGACGGUACCUGAGGAAUAGGCCACGGCUAACUACGUGCCAGCAGCCGCGGUAAUACGUAGGUGGCAAGCGUUAUCCGGAUUUACUGGGUGUAAAGGGCGUGUAGGCGGGAAAGCAAGUC